AGGAGCUGCUCUGGCAGUCGGUUGUCGGCUUCUCUCGGCUAGGGACAUGCGCAGCGACCCGCGGAACGACAGGUGCGCGUCGCGCCGACGACCGCGAAUCGCUUAGUUUCGGGUAAGCGCAUGAUUCGCCUCCACCAGCUCUGUCCUCGCUCCGACCCGCCAGUCGCUCGCGACUCUGUCUCUGAUUCGGUUGUUCGCUCCUGCUAAUCUCGUCAUCAACAUCUCUCUCUCUCUCUCUCUCUCUCUCUUUCUCUCUUAGAGAUUCGAGAUCAUCGGCAACCGAAAGAGAGAGAUCGUCCUUUGGUGACGUGAUCGUGCGAUCGCGGGUCCUCUCGUCCUUGUGAGGAUCAUCCGCUAGAUCCCUAUCGACUGACGACGCCCUGGAGUAGCGAAAAAACUCAUCAGCACUUAUCGAGCGCACGUGUUCUUCCCCUCCUCUCGCUUUUCUUCCUGUCAGUCUUUCUUCUCGCGGAAAACCUUCAUCGACAGACAACUCUCCUAUUUCGGGGGUGGUGAACGUGUUUGUUCAGUUUUCUUCCCUGUUCGAACGUUCGUCGCGCGUUGUUUUCCCUUCGAGCGCCAAUUUCGACAAAACGCGAUUUUCUUCUUAUAACGUUGAAUCGCUGAAUUCCGGAGUGCCAGUAAGCGUAGGUAUAUCGUGCUGAUGAAACAGUGAAUUUCCCGCCGAUUUCACUAAUUCGACGGUGAUUGUGGAUUACUGUGAUUAUCUUGGUGAACGCGCGCGGUGCUUUUGAUGAAUGUGGUGAGGAAAGUUUAGACACGUCGGCAUUCCGGCCUCCCUGGUGGAUCCCUCUCGAUCAUGCACCGAGGACAGGAUCUCUUCCACCCAAGUGUGGGAAUGCGGGCGGCCGCGGCGGUCGUCUUCCUGUUUCUCGGCGGAUUCGUCGUCCUACGCGGAGCCGAGGGGAGCGGCGAACCGUGGUUGAGAAGCGAGAAGCAGGCCGAGUUGGGAACGGAGGUUUUACUACCCUGUGUCCUGAAAUCACCGCAGUGCGAGGGUCUGCAUAGCAUCAAGUGGUACCACGGACCCACGAGGAUUUUCAUUUUCAGCGAGGACGCCGGGAUUAUACGCGGCAAUAACGACUUUGCUGCCAGGGCGGACAUAGAAUAUUCAUCGAAUUCAUCAAAAACGUAUUUGAAGAUACCUGAGGUUCAACUGGAGGACGAGGGUCUAUACAAGUGCGAGGCUACGUAUUUGGCGGUCAACCGCGAGUGCAACAACGUGCAGCAUAUUAUUCUCAACAUCACAGUGCAACCAGAGUUUGUACGUGUCGUCGAUGAAAAGUCGAAGAAUACUCUGAGUACCGGUGCCAUUUUAGGACCUAUAAAUGAGGGUACAACAAUAUCUUUGUAUUGCGAAAGUGGAAAGGGCAAACCUGUACCUAUAGUAGAGUGGUUUAAGGAUGACCAACUACUCGAAGUAACGAGCUCGUCAACUAUCACUGAUACCGGAAUUGGUACUGGCAGUAGUUUACUGGAGAUGCAAAUUACACGAGAAGAGUUAGGUGCAACAUUCACGUGCAAAGUCAACAGUAUUGCACUCGUGGAGCCACUCACAAUUGAUAUCAAACCAGAUGUACAUGUACGUCCGCUAAGGAUGGACUUGGAUGGCGUAGUUGGUCAUGUCGUGCAGGGAACGAAAAUUUUAUUGCAAUGCAAGGUGCAAGCCGCUCGACCUGCCGCCAAUAUAACGUGGAAGAACGGAACGCAUCUCUUAAACGAAGACAACGAGAGAUUCGAAAUGUUUGAGACGAAAAUAGAAAAAAAUGAGGACGAUACAUUCGAUACGAUAAGUUAUCUCGCGUUUACAGCAACGGUAUACGACAACGGCAGAACGUUCAAAUGUUACGCCGGGAAUACGGUUACCGAUACCGAAGAUUUAAGGCAAAUGAAGGAAGCAACAACGAUCGAAGUAUUAUACCCGCCGAUAAUUAAAAUGAAGCCAAAUAACAUGACCGUUAACGAGACAGACGACUUUUUAAUAUUCUGCGACUAUGAGGCAAAUCCGGCUACGCUAAUAAAGGUGAUAUGGUUACGAGACGAUGACGAAUUAGUGUUAAACGAAGAACAUUACGACGGCGGAAUCACGGAACAAACAGCACUCACGGUGAAAAAUGCAACUCCCAGCGACAUGGGUUCUUACAAAUGCAUCCUGGAAAACAACGCCGGGACAACUGUUUCCGAUGACGCCGUACAUGUUUCGGUCUUUUAUAAGCCGAUGGUGGAAGUGAUAAUGGAACCGGAAACACCUGUGAACGAAGCGGAUCGUCAGAACGUUUCGUUAACGUGCGAGGUCGACGCCGGCAAUCCAGCGAUACUGACAGCCGUUCGUUGGUAUUUGGACGGAGAUCUAUUGAAAGAACUUCCGGACUGCUCGAGGAGCAGCAAUGCGACGACAGCAAGCUCCGAGGAAUCAUUGGCAUUCUGUGACAUCGACCCCAGCAAACUGCUCCUGGAAUCUGUCGGACGUACCUUUCACGGCAAUUACUCCUGCGAGGGGAAAAACGAGGCUGGUUGGGGACCCACUUCCCCGAGCACACCUGUCAUAGUUUAUUAUAAACCCGGCCCGGCAUCGAUAACAUACGAACCUCGGCAAGUGGUGAAGAAACAAGCGUUAUCCAUCACUUGCUUCGUUUUGGAUCCCGGCCGACCGAGGGUGUCGGGCUUCAAGUGGCUGCGCGGCUGGCACCGACUUCCAGACGAGAACGAAGCGACGCUUUUCAUCGAGUCAGUUAAUUUAGAAACCGAGGCGAAUUUCACGUGUCUGGCUUACAACGAGGCCGGUGACGGAGAGCCAGCCACAACGUUUAUCGACGUAUCUGCGGCCCCGACGUUCAUUAAGAAGCUGCACUCGUACCGCGGCUACGUCUACAACUCGCCUAACGUGAGCAUUACAUGCUGGGUCGAAUGCGCCCCAAUCUGCAGUAUUUCCUGGCUGAGGGAUGACAUUCCCAUGGACUUCACGAAAACGAAUCGAUACUACGUGUCGAACGUUUAUCAUCCGCCUGACCCAAGGACCAACGACUUCGAGAGCAUCCAAUCGACCCUCGUAUGGAAUCUGACGGUCUGGCCGAACGGUCAGCUCGACCGUGCCGAGGAUAACGUCAAAUUCACCUGCAAGAGUAGCAGCAACGGAAUCGGUCCGGGCGUGGAGAGUAGUACUCACUUUCAUGUCGAGUUUCCUCCGGAGGAUAUUACAAUAUCGAAGAAGAUAAUCAAUGUGACAGUGGACACGAUACCAGAAACCGUCGAAUGUAAUGCGAAGGCACGACCGAAACCAAAUUUUCGAUGGUUCCGCGAAGGAUCCGUUGGGCCCAUUGCAGAAGGCCACAUGUUUGACUUGAAAAUGCCAGUACCACGACGUAGCAAUGGCACUUACUACUGUGAGGCGUGGAAUCGUCAUGGUUUUUUGAACAUCUCAAUGAUCAUGAAUGUUCAAUUUAAACCGGAAUGCCAUAUAGAGAAAGAACGAUUCGAGGGUCAGACUUACAUCGUUUGCUCAGCCGUCGGCAAUCCAAAAGAGACGGAUUUCACUUGGUCACUGAAAAACGAAAACGACACGUUGGUGCAAGUCGCUGAAAUGCGAAACGGAAGAAGUUACAUGCUCCUUGAUACUUCAGUCACCAACUUUCGGACGUACGUGUGCGUGGCGAACAACACAAUCGGCCAUUCUGAAGUGUGUGAACGCGACGUACCAGUCCACCAUGGAACUAAAAGUCAUAUAGUUUGGUGGUAUCAAUUGGAAGGUUAUCUGUUACUGAUCAUCGUAGUGGCGGUAGUCAUGAUAUUAGCCCUAAUACUAAUCUGUGUGGCCAUUUACAUCGCGUGCCGACGGAAACGCAGCCAAAUGAAAUAUCCCAAUCAAGCCGCGAAUAACAAUCAUGUGAACAGCGUGUCGGAAGUUCUGCCCGACUCCGGAACAAAGACGUUCUACGAAAAUUUACCUUUCCACGGGAUCCAAGCGCCACCUAACAAGUUGGUUUCUCCUAAGUUUGCUCGAGUUUCGGCUUUGCAUGGCACGUUGCAUUCCAUCACGACCUCGCCGUGCUCCUCGCGGCCACCCAGCAGGACUGUCAGUCUCUGUGAAGGCAGCUCUGGUUACGAGUCGACCAUGAGCCACCUAGGGCCCCACUACAACAUCUAUAACGUACCCAGGAGCAAUUCACCAGUGCUCAAAUACAACACCUUGAAACCGCGGCGGCGCAAGCAGAAGCACUCACAGCAGUUCUACUCGUUACGGCUGUGUCGCCGACACGAGAACAUUCGCAGGAAGUACGAACUAUACGCGAUACCGAUAUAUAAGACGUGCCCGCACAGAAGUGACAGCACGACUACAAUCGCGACAAUCGUACGCUCGAUGGAGGACGCGCCAUCCCUGACCCUGAGCCAGGCGUCGGCAUCGAUCAGCCUGAUUAGCCGAUCGGCGCCGUCGACCCCGAUACCGCCGUCGCCGACGACGCCGCCGCCGAUACCAGCGCCGAGGAUGUCCAAAAAAAUCGACCCGUCCAAACACACCUACCAAAAUGUUCCUCCCCCUGUUUUUCCGCCGAAAAACGCUUCGUUGCCUAAGCUUAAGACCGACAGCCUAUACAACUACAAAGAACACUACCAGCAGCAGCAUCAGCAGGAGAUGCAGCAGUACAGCUACCCCUUACCGAGCAACAGUUCGAACCAACUAACACUGCCACUAACGCGCAGCCUCUACCAUUCCUCGAUAAUUAGUCCUAUGCAGACCUCCCUCGUUCACACUAACAACAGCCGGCCGUCCACCCUGAUGCACCACGAGGCCGCCACUACUGGCAAUCACUUACCGCCUGCGUCGGUGCAUCGGGACGAGGAGCAGCAGCAGCAGCAGCAACAGCCGAAUUAUGGCAAUCACGACGCGAGACAAUCAUUAACGCGUCGGCACGCGACGAAUCGGCGAAACGAGCGUAAUCGGAAGUACCGGAAACACGAGCGAACGGCGAGCGAUCGAAGCAAGUCAAAGCAGAGGGAUCGACAGAGAGACGCUCCUUCACGGCGCAGCAAUGCUUCCUUUGUCGACACACCCGACCGCGAGAUGAGCUUUCGCCAAAUCCCGGAUCUGGGCGUGCCCGAGACGACGUACAAGAUCUCGUAUCCGCAUUACUAUGAGGAGGACGACAUCGCGGAGUGCUCCACCGACUAUCACAAAGCAAACUCGGCAAUGACGCGUCAGCAGCAGCAGCAACAACAGCUACCAUGGGAGCACCAAUCGAACCGCUGCACCGGCAAUAACACGCCUCAAUUCGCAGCGGACGCGGGCGACGCGAAAAAUCGCAGCAAAACGUCAAAGACGAGGCUCGGCGACACCCGCAGCAUACCGUCCGCGCCCACGAUAAUGCAGUACGCCGAGUUUCACUUCCGGGAUGUCGGUCAGGAGAUCGAUGUCUAAAGGAGGGUCAGCUGACAAAGAGCGAUACAUACAUUUACUAGGACAAUUUGGCAUCCGACAAGCCCUCCCUUCAAGCCAGAA
rnacentral:misc_RNA from 1 species